rnacentral:rRNA from 1 species
AAAGAAAAUAACAAUGAUUCCCCUAGUAACUGCGAGUGAAGAGGGACAAGCUCAAAUUUUAAAUCUGUUAGGUUUACCUGACCGAGUUGUAAUUUGAAGAAGCGUUAUCUGCGCGGUUGGUCAGCCCAAGUCCUAUUGAAUGAGGCAUCGUGGAGGGUGAUAAUCCCGUCCGGUUGAUCGAUGCGUUUUACGAUACGCUCUCAAAGAGUCAAGUUGUUUGGGAUUGCAGCUUAAAAUGGGAGGUAAAUUUCUCCUAAGGCUAAAUAUUGGCGCGAGACCGAUAGCGAACAAGUACCGUGAGGGAAAGAUGAAAAGUACUUUGAAAGGAGAGUUAAAUAGCACGUGAAAUUGUUGAAAGGGAAACGAUUGAAGCCAGUCGUACCGGCGGAUAAUCAGCCUUUCGGGUGCGAU